UCACGAAACUACAAAGGAAUUGACGGGGGCCCGGCACAAGCGGUGGAGCGAUGUGGUUUAAUUCGACGAUACGCGAAGAACCUUACCCGGGUUUGACAUUGUAUCGAAGCAUCCAGAGAUGGAUGUGUCUCUUCGGAGCGGUAUGACAGGUGCUGCAUGGCUGUCGUCAGCUCGUGCCGUGAGGUGUCGGGUUAAGUCCCAUAACGAGCGCAACCCCUACCUUUAGUUGCCAUCAGGUUAAGCUGGGGACUCUAAAGGAACUGCCUACGCAAGUAGUGAGGAAGGCGGGGAUGACGUCAAAUCAGCACGGCCCUUACGUCCAGGGCUACACACGUGCUACAAUGGCCGAUACAGAGGGCAGCUACCUGGUGACAGGAUGCAAAUCUCCAAAGUCGGUCUCAGUUCGGAUCGGAGUCUGCAACCCGACUCCGUGAAGUUGGAUUCGCUAGUAAUCGCGCAUCAGCCAUGGCGCGGUGAAUACGUUCCCGGGCCUU
rnacentral:rRNA from 1 species